rnacentral:snoRNA from 1 species
UUUGGGCGUAUGAUGAAUCUCAUGUUUUUAUGGGUAAUUUGCGUCUGAAUUUAUAUUGAUGCUUUAUCACCUUGGAGAACUGAUGCCCUUU